rnacentral:rRNA from 1 species
ACUCAAAUGAAUAGACGGGGGCCCGCACAAGCGGAGGAACAUGUGGUUUAAUUCGAUGAUACGCGAGGAACCUUACCUGGGCUUAAAUGGGAGCAGACGGAUUUGGAAACAGGUCUUUCUUCGGACUGCUUUCAAGGUGCUGCAUGGUUGUCGUCAGCUCGUGCCGUGAGGUGUCGGGUUAAGUCCCAUAACGAGCGCAACCCCUACCGAUAGUUACCAUCAGGUCAAGCUGGGGACUCUAUCGGGACUGCCACCGUAAGGUGCGAGGAAGGCGGGGAUGACGUCAAAUCAGCACGGCCCUUAUGUCCAGGGCUACACACGUGUUACAAUGGCCGGUACAGAGGGCAGCUACCCUGCGAGGGGAUGCUAAUCUUAUAAAUCCGGUCUCAGUUCGGAUCGAAGUCUGCAACCCGACUUCGUGAAGCUGGAUUCGCUAGUAAUCGCGCAUCAGCCAUGGCGCGGUGAAUACGUUCCCGGGCCUUGCACACACCGCCCGU